rnacentral:rRNA from 1 species
GACGAACGCUGGCGGCGUGCCUAAUACAUGCAAGUAGAACGCUGAAGGAGGAGCUUGCUUCUCUGGAUGAGUUGCGAACGGGUGAGUAACGCGUAGGUAACCUGCCUGGUAGCGGGGGAUAACUAUUGGAAACGAUAGCUAAUACCGCAUAAUAGUAGAUGUUGCAUGACAUUUGCUUAAAAGGUGCAAUUGCAUCACUACCAGAUGGACCUGCGUUGUAUUAGCUAGUUGGUGGGGUAACGGCUCACCAAGGCGACGAUACAUAGCCGACCUGAGAGGGUGAUCGGCCACACUGGGACUGAGACACGGCCCAGACUCCUACGGGAGGCAGCAGUAGGGAAUCGUCGGCAAUGGACGGAAGUCUGACCGAGCAACGCCGCGUGAGUGAAGAAGGUUUUCGGAUCGUAAAGCUCGGUUGUAAGAGAAGAACGAGUGUGAGAGUGGAAAGUUCGCACUGUGACGGUAUCUUACCAGAAAGGGACGGCUAACUACGUG